GUGUUAUUGCACCGUGGUUACAUAAUAUAUGUGAUGUCAUCCUCUACCACAACAGUUGUUAGCAACCGUAUGGAAUUAAUCCAGCAGCCUGGGGAUUUCUGGAGAAGCUAUUCUAGUUUUGUCCUGGUGGAUACUGAAAAUAUUAAGGGAUAAAUAGGAUGAAGUUUGUGUUAAUGUCAUCUUUGCUCCACCCUGCAUGCUUCACGAUCUUUUGUCAUGCUGCGUUCUGAGUCCAUGAUUAAUAUCCAUCUUUCAUGUGAACUGUUACCCUGAAAAGCACUUCUGAAUGAUGCUCAGGUCCCUGGGAGCUUCCCCAUCCCAAGGUCUAUUUUCUCUGAUAUUUUCUAUCCUAUGGAAAUCAGAUGAUAGGCAGAACUACAGAUGGAAUUGAACUGAGUAAU